UGGUUCUGGCAUCGAUGAAGAACGCAGCGAAAUGCGAUAAGUAAUGUGAAUUGCAGAAUUCAGUGAAUCAUCGAAUCUUUGAACGCACAUUGCGCCCCUUGGUAUUCCGAGGGGCAUGCCUGUUCGAGCGUCAUUAUAACCACUCAAGCCUAGCUUGGUAUUGGGGUUCGCGUGCCCGCGGCCCUUAAAAUUAGUGGCGGUGCCGUCUGGCUCUAAGCGUAGUAAUUCUCUCGCUAUAGAGUCCUGGUGGUUACUUGCCAGAACCCCCCACAUUCUUAGGUUGACCUCGGAUCAGGUAGGGAUACCCGCUGA
rnacentral:misc_RNA from 1 species